rnacentral:rRNA from 1 species
AUUGAACGCUGGCGGAAUGCUUUACACAUGCAAGUCGAACGGUAGAGGGGGCAACCCCUCGAGAGUGGCGAACGGGUGAGUAAUAUAUCGGAACGUGCCCAGUCGUGGGGGAUAACGUAGCGAAAGUUACGCUAAUACCGCAUACGAUCUACGGAGGAAAGCGGGGGACCUUAGGGCCUCGCGCUGAUAGAGCGGCCGAUGUCGGAUUAGCUAGUUGGUGAGGUAAAGGCUCACCAAGGCGACGAUCCGUAGCGGGUCUGAGAGGAUGAUCCGCCACACUGGGACUGAGACACGGCCCAGACUCCUACGGGAGGCAGCAGUGGGGAAUUUUGGACAAUGGGCGAAAGCCUGAUCCAGCCAUGCCGCGUGAGUGAAGAAGGCCUUCGGGUUGUAAAGCUCUUUUGUCCGGGAGGAAAUCCUGACCCCUAAUACGGGUCGGGGAUGACAGUACUGGAAGAAUAAGCACCGGCUAACUACGUG